GACACCCCGGGGAUAGGUUCCGUCGGGUGCUGUCUGCAGUCUGGACUUUAUCACGUCAGCCGGCAUUCCAACUGACCAGUUUGCGAUUCCCGCAGCACCUCCGGCAACCAGGGAAGGCCACAUUGCACCCUGGGGAGUGGAGACGUAUUCGAUGUGUCGAAAACGAGAUGGUGACCACCUCCGAUACAGUUAUGCCCUGGAGUUUCCGCAUGAGGACCUCGUAGGUGAAGAAGUACAUCCCGGCGGCGGGGACGUCGCGAAGAAGAGUGGCGCAGGUCCCGACGUAUAUCUUGCGGAUUCCACCCUGCUUCCAAAGUUUCAACCCGCAAUCUAGAAACCCGUUGUAUUUCUUGUCACUCUCAGUCUUCUCUUUGACGAGGCAGGGUCAUGCAAAAAAUAAAUUUUUAUCGAUUCUUGCACAUUAGACAUACGCAAUCACACCUGCAUUUGAAGCAAGCACUUUAUUCGUUCCCCUGGAGCCAUGACAAAGGAGGUACACAUCCCGCUGAAAGCACCGGCCAGAAACUGCUGAGGGUCAGUUAAUUUUUCCU